GUCCUCUGUUUCUUCCUUGGGUUGGCGGAGAUAUCACUAGGCCCUUGUACUACCCACUCCUUACUAUUCCAGAAGCCCACAGACAAGAAGCUUCCCAGGUCUCCGUGUCUUCAAAGAAUCCUUGGCUUGCAAACUAACUGGAGACAGAAACACCGAUGUGGAACGAGUGCAGACGGAGAACAAUGUCUAUAACCACCAGAAGCCUGGGGGUGAAGAUGUGAGAGGUGAGAACUGAGGAUUAGAGCAGGAGGCUGUUUCACCAUCCCGAGCAGCAGAUCUGAGUCAGAGUGGAAAGUCACCUCCAGCACUCUUGAUUCCACUCUGGAUUCGCACCCCGCUUCUGCACCACACUGCUGAACCCAGAUGGCACAAGCCCUGCCAGGCCUGUGGCAUGCUAAGAGUAAGGGCAUACGUUCUCGGGCGGGAGCAUUGAGAAGGGCAAGCCUUGCUCUGUGCACGGAUCUUUACUUUUCUUGAACUUCACUGCAUGUUGUAGCACAUUUCAGUGCCUCUGAUUGACACUCAGGACCCUCCACUGGCCCCACGCGGCCUUUAUGACCUUCAUUGCCAACACUCCCCAACCUAUAGUCUCCAGCCAGAUGCAUCCACUCAGCUUUUGCUGAGCCUCUGCUAGUGGCUGGGGCACUACCCCUGUCAUCUUCUUCUUCCAGGCUGCUUUCCCUAUUAUCACCUAGAUGUAAAGCUCAGGGCUCAGGCUGCCUCAAGUCUCUUCUACAUCAUUAAUUCUACACAACCUAAUUCAAUUCAUUUCAAUAAACUUUACAAAGGACCUAUUGUGUGUCAGGCAUCCUGCUUGGCAUUUGAGGUUUCAGGGUAAGUAAA